GUUUAAGAGACAGCAGUAGCCGCGGGAAUACGAAGGGUGCAAGCGUUACUCGGAAUUACUGGGCGUAAAGCGUGCGUAGGUGGUGGUUUAAGUCCGUUGUGAAAGCCCUGGGCUCAACCUGGGAAUUGCAGUGGAUACUGGGUCACUAGAGUGUGGUAGAGGAUAGUGGAAUUUCCGGUGUAGCAGUGAAAUGCGUAGAGAUCGGAAGGAACAUCUGUGGCGAAGGCGACUAUCUGGGCCAACACUGACACUGAGGCACGAAAGCGUGGGGAGCAAACAGGAUUAGAUACCCGGGUAGUCCCUGUCUCUUAUAC
rnacentral:rRNA from 1 species